rnacentral:rRNA from 1 species
UACAGAGGUCCCAAGCGUUGUUCGGAUUCAUUGGGCGUAAAGGGUGCGUAGGUGGCGGGGUAAGUCUGGUGUGAAAGCUCCGAGCUCAACUCGGAAAAGCAUUGGAAACUAUCCCGCUGGAGGGUCGGAGGGGAGACUGGAAUUCUCGGUGUAGCAGUGAAAUGCGUAGAUAUCGAGAGGAACACCAGUGGCGAAGGCGAGUCUCUGGACGACUCCUGACACUGAGGCACGAAAGCUAGGGGAGCAAACAGG